GGUGAACGCUGGCGGCGUGCUUAAGACAUGCAAGUCGAACGGCAGUCUUCGGACUGUAGUGGCGCACGGGUGAGUAACGCGUAACUGACCUACCCCAAAGUCGCGGAUAACGAUUCGAAAGAAUCGCUAAUACGUGAUGUGCUGUCAGAUUGUGUUCUGCCAGUAAAGAUUGAUUGCUUUGGGAUGGGGUUGCGUUCCAUCAGCUAGUUGGUGGGGUAAAGGCCCACCAAGGCGACGACGGAUAGCCGGCCUGAGAGGGUGGCCGGCCACAGGGGCACUGAGACACGGGUCCCACUCCUACGGGAGGCAGCAGUUAAGAAUCUUCCACAAUGGGCGAAAGCCUGAUGGAGCGACGCCGCGUGAGGGAUGAAGGUCUUCGGAUCGUAAACCUCUGAAUCAGGGACGGAAGACACUUCGGUGGGAUGACGGUACCUGAGUAAUAGCACCGGCUAACUCCGUGCCAGCCGCCGCGGUAAUAC
rnacentral:rRNA from 1 species